UUCCCCUGUCUGACCCUCCUUUUUCUCAGCUGCUCUCUCACACGUUCGUCUUCCCCUCUCUCUCAGUCGCUCUCUCACCCAUCCAUCUUCCCCUCUCUCGCAGACACUCUCACCCUUCUUCCCUUCCCUCUCAGCUGUCCAUAGUCCAGUUUCAUCCAAACCCAGUUUAAGUAGAAGCUGGUGCCCUUUAGGCGAGUAACAGCCCAAUUUAAGUUGUGACUUUUUGCUUUUUUUGUAUAAGGGUAAUGUUAUUGUAGCGACUUUAUUGGUUUUAUGCAUAUUGUAAGUUAGUGUAAUGGGAUGAAUAUUCAUCAAUUACUUUCAAGGUCAGUAUAUUUUUGUAAACUAUACCUUAUCUUUUGAUUAUAUGUAAUAAUAUUUUCAUCUAAAAGGUA